GUGGGCCUCGCCCUGCCCCGCGGCGGGAACGCGGCCGUGAGGGUGUGGGGUGUAGGUCCGCCAGGCCUGCAACGGCUGCCGAGGGUCGUGGGAUGCGCUCGCCGCGUCCCUGCUCAGGCGGAGGGAGCCCGGCCCGCCGCCAGGGUCUCGAGUCCGGGUCCAGGAGUAUGACAACUUUUCAACUUGAGUGCACACACUGUCCCCGGAAUCCCGCGUUCCAGGGAGGAAGCGCCUUUGACAGCGCGCGCCGGUUCGUGGGGCCCGACGGCGUGGGCCUGUGGUUGCGGACCUGGCGGAGAUGCGCGUUCGCUUCGAUUGUAGGCCAUUCCUUUUAGGAGCUGAGAAAGGAUCCGUUUUUACAGCAUUCUCGACCUGUGAUUCUUGGUGGGGGAAACUAGUUAUGUGGAUAAAAAUACAGUUAGCAAAAUAAAAAUGCCAAUUUUACAUUUC
ensembl:lncRNA HDAC4-AS1 HDAC4 antisense RNA 1